CACUCCUGUCUUCACCUAUGAUCACGAAAUUUGGGUAAUGACAGAAAGAAUAAGAUCGCGGAUACAAGCGGUAGAAAUGAGUUUCCUCCGUCGGGUAUCUGAGGCUCUCCCUUAGUGAU